rnacentral:misc_RNA from 1 species
ACCAUGAUUUUGAUACGAAAUUGCGUAACGCUCGUAAGUUUCUGGAAAAAGGCGAUAAAGUCAAAGUCUCUAUCCGUUUCAGAGGACGAGCAAUCACUCACAAGGACAUUGGACGUGAAGUACUGGAACGCAUGGCUGAAAAAGCAUCUGAUAUUUCACAAGUCGAAUCAAAGGCUAAGAUGGAUGGCCGUAGCAUGUUCUUGAUGCUCGCACCGAAAAGUGAAAAAUAAAGAAAUAACUGUGAUGUAGUUAUUUUCUGAUCAUUAUAUAGAAGAGUAUUGGAGGAAAUCAAAAAUGCCUA